UACGAGGGGUGCAAGCGUUGCUCGGAAUUAUUGGGCGUAAAGGGUAGGUAGGUGGUCUCAUUUGUCUGGGGUGAAAGCCUUGAGCUUAACUCAAGAAGUGCCCCAGAAACGGUGAGACUGGAGUCUUGGAGAGGGUCGUGGAAUUCCCGGUGUAGCGGUGAAAUGCGUAGAGAUCGGGAGGAACACCAGCAGCGAAGGCGGCGACCUGGACAAGCACUGACACUCAACUACGAAAGCGUGGGGAGCAAACAGG
rnacentral:rRNA from 1 species